rnacentral:snoRNA from 11 species
GAGCAGAUGAUGUUAAUACUAACUAGAUCACUGAGAUCUUGGUCUUUGAUGUCUAAAAAAUCGAGCUUUUUAAAACUGAUGCUUA